rnacentral:lncRNA from 1 species
UUGGAGGCGAGGAAGGUGGGGGUGCAUGGACGAGGGCAAGGGCGAGGGCGAGGGCGAGAGAAUGAGCGUGAGAGGCGAGACGGACCGUUUCCGCCUCCACUCUGCCGGCGAGAAAAAAAAAAAAGAACGAGAGAAACGAAGAGGAGAGAGAAAGAGGAAAGAGAAAAAGUAAAAAGGGUAUUUUGGUCAGUUUGCUGAAAAAGCGGACCGAAUCUGCAAAAACGAAAAAUGUGGCCCGGUUUUGCAAAAGCCGAAAAUAAGUGAAUUUUUUAUGCAAAUUGGCCAUUAUAAAAUAACAUAUUAAUUUUAGAUUAAUAAUAUUAAAGCAAUUUACCUUUUUUCUUUUUUUUCAAAAUUUUAAGUGUAGGUAGGACUCGUAAUAUGUCUCACUGUUCAUAAAUCAGUUCGUACUCAGGCACAAAAUUGGCCAGAGCUCGACUUGUGAAAUAACCGUUGUACUCUAAAAGCUUAAGUUUAAGUUGUUAGGGAACGGUGUUUAAAUAUUUUUAUAUUUAACACUCCCCCUCACGUCUCGGCUCGAGACUUUUUAGUCUGCUCAUGACGUGAGCUUGAAUUAAAUAGAAGGAAAUUAUUAUGCUAGGAGCCUGUCGUAACUCGAACUCAGGACCUCCUGCUCUGAUACCAUGUGAAACAACCGUUGUACUCUAAAAGCUUAAGCUGUUAGAGAACAGUGUUUAAAUAUUUUUAUAUUUAACACGACUUACUUAUUUAAUAAACAAGUCGAGCGUGAAGUUAUUUUUUUAGCUCGAAAAAUUAAUAAAUAGAACAUGAACUGUUCCUAGCUCAGCUCAUAUUU